AGAGGGUNAAGCAGGCGCAUCNUUUUCUUUACACGAAUACAUUAGGCAUGGGCNUAAUGGAAUACGACCCUGUCCUCCUAUGNUCACGUUGGUUUUGGCAGCGCGAGGACUAGGUAAUGAUUAAUAGGGAUAGUUGGGGGCAUUAAUAUUUGAAUUGUCANAGGUGAAAUUCUUGGAUAUAUGAAAGAUUAACUUCUGCGAAAGCAUCUGCCAAGGAUGUUUACAUUAAUCAAGAACGAAAGUUAGGGGAUCGAAGACGAUCAGAUACCGUCGUAGUCUUAACCAUAAACGAUGCCGACCAGCGAUUAGGAGACGUUGAAUACAAAACACCACCAUCGGCGCGGUCGUCCUUGGCGUCUGUCCCUUCAACGGGGGCGGGCGCGAGGGCGGUUAC
rnacentral:rRNA from 1 species